GGAGGAUUGGCCGAGUGGUAAGGCACCGGUUUGCUAAACCGUGGUCGGGUCUCAAAGGCCCGCGCACGUUCGAUCCGUGCAUCCUCCGCCG
rnacentral:tRNA from 1 species